GACGAACGCUGGCGGCGUGCUUAACACAUGCAAGUCGAACGGUGAAGCGCCUUCCUUUUUGGUGGGUGUGGAUGAGUGGCGAACGGGUGAGUAACACGUUAGUAACCUGCCCCCUUCUUCUGGAUAACCGCAUGAAAGUGUUGCUAAUACGGGAUAUUCUGGGUCUGUCGCAUGAUGGGUCUGGGAAAGAUAUUGUUUCGGUGGGGGAUGGGCUCGCGGCCUAUCAGCUUGUUGGUGGGGUGAUGGCCUACCAAGGCGGUGACGGGUAGCCGGCCUGAGAGGGUGGACGGUCACACUGGGACUGAGACGCGGCCCAGACUCCUACGGGAGGCAGCAGUGGGGAAUAUUGCACAAUGGGCGCAAGCCUGAUGCAGCGACGCCGCGUGAGGGAUGGAGGCCUUCGGGUUGUGAACCUCUUUCGCCAGUGAAGCAGGCCUGCCUCGUUUGUGGGUGGGUUGACGGUAGCUGGAUAAGAAGCGCCGGCUAACUACGUG
rnacentral:rRNA from 1 species